rnacentral:rRNA from 1 species
CCUACGGGAGGCAGCAGUAGGGAAUAUUGCUCAAUGGGGGUAACCCUGAAGCAGCAACGCCGCGUGGAGGAUGAAGGUUCUCGGAUUGUAAACCCCUUUUGUUAGAGAAGAUAAUGACGGUAUCUAACGAAUAAGCACCGGCUAACUCCGUGCCAGCAGCCGCGGUAAUACGGAGGGUGCAAGCGUUAUCCGGAAUCACUGGGCGUAAAGGGCGCGUAGGCGGGUUAGCAAGUCAGAUGUGAAAGCCUAUGGCUUAACCAUAGAACUGCAUUUGAAACUGUUAUUCUAGAGUAUGGGAGAGGUAGGUGGAAUUCUUGGUGUAGGGGUAAAAUGCGUAGAGAUCAAGAGGAAUACUCAUUGCGAAGGCGGCCUGCUAGAACAUAACUGACGCUGAUGCACGAAAGCGUGGGGAGCAAACAGGAUUAGAUACCCGUGUAGUC